CUCUGUUUUGUCGAGUCCAAGUCCUGUAUGUAUAACUGACCAUGCUUUUUUAGACAGGGCACGGCCACGUUUGCUGAGAUGUUGGCUCUUCACUCCUCAGUGUCCCUGUGUCAGAUCACAAGACCUCCUCAUGCUGCAGAAAAAACAGAGUCAGAGUCACACACUCCUGUUCAUACACAUGAAUGCGAAGAUGCUACUGAAAUAUUGAUAUGUGUAUUCCAUUCAUACAUCACUGCUUUUAUUAUACAUGGUAAUGAUCAUGCUGUAACAGAGUUACACUCCCACUAGAUCACAAAUUUAAGAACACCAUGUCAGUUUGUAUGUGCCUACUGUGUUUAAAUGGUAACACAAAAUUAUCUGGUGAAAUUACAUCUUUACAAUAUGACUUUAAAGCCAGAAAGUGCUAGGUAACGGAGUUACAGAAAAUUAACAUCACUUUUUCCAACAAAAGUCAAUAUCAUCAAACAUGCGGUUCUUAUAACAUUACAAAAGCACCCUUUGACAUGUGACACGUGACUCACUUUUGACGUACUUAUGAAACAUAUAUGUCAUGGUAACAUAAGCUACAAAUGUUUCUAUUGUUAAAACAAUAUUUAAUUUUGUAAAUUAUUACCAAAAAUAUAUGAAAUGUUCAUGUAUUCAUUAGUAUUAGUAUGUUUAAUCAUAAUGAAAGAAAAAAAAUGCAAAGUAGAUGUACCGUAUAUCGGUACAAAACAUGCUUUAUUAUUAAUUAUUACU